CCAACGGCCUUUCUAAAGGCCACCACAGUUUACAAAGAGCCCUUGU
rfam:Orchesella cincta Ocin01_Sc6072, whole genome shotgun sequence.